GUGGGGAAUAUUGGACAAUGGGCGAAAGCCUGAUCCAGCAAUGCCGCGUGAGUGAUGAAGGCCUUAGGGUUGUAAAGCUCUUUCGUCAGGGAAGAUAAUGACGGUACCUGAAGAAGAAGCCCCGGCUAACUUCGUGCCAGCAGCCGCGGUAAUACGAAGGGGGCUAGCGUUGCUCGGAAUCACUGGGCGUAAAGCGCACGUAGGCGGCUUUCUAAGUCAGGGGUGAAAUCCUGGAGCUCAACUCCAGAACUGCCUUUGAUACUGGAGAGCUUGAGUUCGGGAGAGAUGAGUGGAACUGCGAGUGUAGAGGUGAAAUUCGUAGAUAUUCGCAAGAACACCAGUGGCGAAGGCGGCUCACUGGCCCGAUACUGACGCUGAGGUGCGAAAGCGUGGGGAGCAAACAGGAUUAGAAACCCCGGUAGUCC
rnacentral:rRNA from 1 species